CCUACGGGGGGCAGCAGUGAGGAAUAUUGGUCAAUGGACGAGAGUCUGAACCAGCCAAGUAGCGUGAAGGAUGACUGCCCUAUGGGUUGUAAACGUCUUUUAUAUGGGAAUAAAAUGUUCCACGUGUGGGAUUUUGUAUGUACCAUAUGAAUAAGGAUCGGCUAACUCCGUGCCAGCAGCCGCGGUAAUACGGAGGAUCCGAGCGUUAUCCUGAUUUAUUGGGUUUAAAGGGAGCGUGGGUGGAUUGUUAAGUCAGUUGUGAAAGUUUGCGGCUCAACCGUAAAAUUGCAGUUGAAACUGGCAGUCUUGAGUACAGUAGAGGUGGGCGGAAUUCGUGGUGUAGCGGUGAAAUGCUUAGAUAUCACGAAGAACUCCGAUUGCGAAGGCAGCUCACUGGACUGCAACUGACACUGAGGCUCGAAAGUGUGGGUAUCGAACAGGAUUAGAUACCCCAGUAGUC
rnacentral:rRNA from 1 species